rnacentral:lncRNA from 1 species
UCUUUGUACACAGUGCACCAUUUUGAAUUUCAUGACCAUGGUUGUUUUAAGCACAUGAAAUAGGUGAACUUUGGUUUUUAUUUCGUUUGAUUUCGUGCACUAUAGAGGAAGAUGUGUGUUGCUGAAGUUUGAAAAAUGUGUUUGAUUUUGGGGAGGAAGAUGGUGCCAGGGCGCGCGCAUUUUAGGUUUAAAAUUAUUGUUUUGUUUAUUUUGACUUGGAAGCAAGCUUGUGUCACCAAGUGACUCACGGCCCAGUGGUGGGCGCGCUGAGUUGAAUUGCCAAGGGGAGGGGUUCGAAUCCCAUCUCCCCCAUUUGUGUUUUUCUCUUUCUUUCUUUGUUUAAAAAGUGCAUUUUUUUUAAUGUUUUCUUUUAACAAUUUCCAUUUCGAUUUUCAUUUUUGAUUCUUGUUUUACUUAACAUGAAAUAAAUAUGUGAACAUGAAAAAUGACAAAAAAUAUGAGUAUUUGACUUUGUUGACUUUUUUAGACCAUUUUGUGAAUUUAUCCCGAUUUUAUGAGUUCUAUUGAUUAAAUCUCAUCUUGUGUGUUUCAUGUGGUUAUUUUGAUCUUUCAGACCUGGGAUUUUUAUGUGAAAUCAAUUUAGGGUAGGAACAUGUCCCCUUAGACACUUAGGAUAAUU